rnacentral:misc_RNA from 1 species
ACUGAUGAGGGUGAUUACAACAUCAAAUUGCGUAAUUUGAUUAGCUUUCUGGACGAGGGUGACAAGGUAAAGGUUACCCUGCGAUUUAGAGGGCGUGAGAUGGCACACCAAGAGUUUGGUGUGCGUCUUUUGGAGCGAGUAAGAGAUGACCUUGAAUUACAUGCAAUAGUAGAGCAAUUUCCCAGGCUAGAGGGUAGGCAAAUGGUGAUGGUAUUGUCACCUAAAAAGAAAGAAGUAAAAAAAAGUAAAUCGAAAGAAUUAAAGCAAGAGGAUAAGAUUUCUACAGCUAUAAUAACUUCGUGAGUAUGCUAAUCACUCUUAUUACGUGA